rnacentral:rRNA from 1 species
AUUGAACGCUGGCGGCAGGCCUAACACAUGCAAGUCGAACGGUAACAGGAAGAAGCUUGCUUCUUUGCUGACGAGUGGCGGACGGGUGAGUAAUGUCUGGGAAACUGCCUGAUGGAGGGGGAUAACUACUGGAAACGGUAGCUAAUACCGCAUAACGUCGCAAGACCAAAGAGGGGGACCUUCGGGCCUCUUGCCAUCGGAUGUGCCCAGAUGGGAUUAGCUAGUAGGUGGGGUAACGGCUCACCUAGGCGACGAUCCCUAGCUGGUCUGAGAGGAUGACCAGCCACACUGGAACUGAGACACGGUCCAGACUCCUACGGGAGGCAGCAGUGGGGAAUAUUGCACAAUGGGCGCAAGCCUGAUGCAGCCAUGCCGCGUGUAUGAAGAAGGCCUUCGGGUUGUAAAGUACUUUCAGCGGGGAGAAAGGGAGUAAAGUUAAUACCCUUGCUCAUUGACGUUACCCGCAGAAGAAGCACCGGCUAACCCCG